CGUUGUAACAUCGGUUCCCAUAUGAUCACCGAAGUUAAGCAACGUCGAUGCUGGUCAGUACGUUGAUGGGUGACUGCAUGAGAUUACCAGAUGCCGUAAG